rnacentral:rRNA from 1 species
UACGGAGGGUGCAAGCGUUAUCCAGAUUUACUGGGUUUAAAGGGUGCGCAGGCGGAUAUGUAAGUCAGUGGUGAAAUCUUCCCGCUUAACGGGAAAACUGCCAUUGAUACUAUAUAUCUUGAAUGCUGUGGAGGUAAGCAGAAUAUGUCAUGUAGCGGUGAAAUGCUUAGAGAUGACAUAGAAUACCUAUUGCGAAGGCAGCUUACUACGCAGAUAUUGACGCUCAUGCACGAAAGCGUGGGGAUCAAACAGG